rnacentral:rRNA from 1 species
GACGAACGCUGGCGGCGUGCUUAACACAUGCAAGUCGAACGGAAAGGCCCUGCUUUUGUGGGGUGCUCGAGUGGCGAACGGGUGAGUAACACGUGAGUAACCUGCCCUUGACUUUGGGAUAACUUCAGGAAACUGGGGCUAAUACCGGAUAGGAGCUCCUGCUGCAUGGUGGGGGGUGGAAAGUUUCGGCGGUUGGGGCUGGACUCGCGGGUUAUGAGCUUGUUGGUGGGGUAGUGGCUGACCAAGGCUUUGACGGGUAGGCGGCCUGCGAGGGUGACCGGCCACCUUGGGACUGAGAUACGGCCCAGACUCCUACGGGAGGCAGCAGUGGGGAAUAUUGCACAAUGGGCGGAAGCCUGAGGCAGCAACGCCGCGUGCGGGAUGACGGCCUUCGGGUUGUAAACCGCUUUCGCCUGUGACGAAGCGUGAGUGACGGUAAUGGGUAAAGAAGCACCGGCUAACUACGUG